AGUGAAGCUGAAGUCUUGAGUCUUACCACAACCAUGUGUGGUAUUUAUAAAGGAUCAGGCCUGGCUAUUAAAGAUGGAGGUGAUUUUCUUGUAAUAAUUUACCUUAAGUAUUACUUAAAUGCAGAUAAACAGGUGUAUUCUACAAGCACUUUAGUAGCAUAUAUAUUCCCUAAAAAAAACUCUGGUGAUCACUCUUGAUUUGUAAUUGUCUCAUUUACAUUUUUCACUGCCCUCAUUUGAGGAGUGAGGAAACAGGAGCAGAUGUUGAGUUUAUUAACUUAACAUAAUCAUUUUAGGUUCCCAGUGUCUCCAAGAGAGCUGUCCAUAACAGGAUUAACAUAUUCAUGAGAGCUGGUGGAUUUAGACUUAGUACAGCUUUAAGAGAUGCCCACAGACCCUUCUACUCACCCACUACUAUCCACACACACACACUAAUACACACAUAACAACCCUCGAUCCCCAUAACAACCCUGUGGGAAAUUUCUGAAGCCAAAAUGACCUGUUCUCCACAAUGUAAACUCAUUUUUACCCUGCAGAGCUAAUGGUGAUGACGUAAUAUUUUCAUAUGAAGCUAAUUAAGUUUUUCCAAACAUGACUCAACGCGGUUACUCACUGAAAAAUCUGAAUCAAAUGUUCCACGUCCAUUCAUGACAAGACCAGAGCCGCAGGAGUAACAGUCUGAGCUGGGCUUUGAACUAGCUUUGGGUUUUUAUUUUGAACAGGGACGGUUUUCUUUCCGAUUCAGACCGAGGAACUUAAUACAGUAAUUGGUUACACAUUGAAUUUUCAACCAUGCAAAUAACUUGCCUCAUUCAGAACCAAGACUGAAAAAGAUUCACUAGUGGUGAGAACUUGAAGUGUUGUUUUAAUGUUGCUUUUUUCUUUCUUUCAAACUAUUAGUAUCUAUCUAAUAUUAGUAACUAUUUCUACUUUACUAGUAUUUUAAAAUUCCGCAGCAAAAUCAGUUAGAACUAAGCCAAUCCUAGCUGGUACAAACGGUGUUCAGUAAGCCAACCGUGUCCUUGUACGAGUUAAUUUCCGUUUUCCAGGUCUCAUCCUUAUCCUUGUAGACACAAAAAUAGCAGCAAAUCAAUACAGUAGCUGAAGAGGUGACAUAACAGAAGAGAACUAAAGGGGGAGGAGAGGUGCCACUAAAUGAAGGUUUAAAAGACAGCUAACAUCAGCUUUUUAUUCUGAACAGGCCAGGUUUCAAAGACAAACUCAUUCCCUAAAUUUAAAUGUUUCUACCAUUGAUUUCUGAUGGAGCUGAAAAACAUCUUUUGGAGUGUCGGCCAAACAUCUGGGGUUGCAAUGAUAUUUGAUAAAAACUCCAUCGACACUGCAAAAUUGUCUAUCAAUGUUAAAAAAACAGAUUUGAUCUGCAAAAAUCAGACAAGUUUAAGGUCAGGGUAAUAAAUUAUGUAUGACAAAGACUUCAGUUUUGCCCAUUUUUAAUAAACUCCAGCCAUAGUGGUCUUUGAUCUCUCAAAGACAAAGUGCACAUUGGUAAAGACAAAGAGCUACAGACACAGAACAAACCUAUUAAAAUUUAUAGACCUAUUCAAUAACUUUUUUACACAUUUGUAUGAGCCUGAGUUUCUCUACACAGUAAAAAAGCCCAUGGUGAUUACUCGUGCACCACAACUCUCCUUUUCUAUCCAGUGCAGUUGGAUUGAUGAGCAGCUUAUACUCUACCUAAAAUGUGUGUGCAGACUUUUUUCUUGCAUAACGUUUGUAGUGUUUACACCUGUUGUGGUUUGAUUUACUGGGGCUGCACAUCAUCUAGGACAGAGUGUCCUGUCCUGUAAGUUAAUGGUUUUAUAUGCCUACACAUUUUCUGUUCCUCUGCUGUUACAACUAUAAAACGGAGUUGGUCACACUA